GUCAAUCGCCCCGGCACACGCCGGAGCUCAUGAAGUAUUCAAGAGCUCGAGAUUGACCAGACCCAGCGCUCAAUGGCGCUACGUUGUGUGGAGACAGUACACCCACCGUCGAAUGCUUCCUCAGUUCGACGCUCUGGA
rnacentral:sRNA from 1 species